UGUAGGUGAACCUGCGGAAGGAUCAUUA
rnacentral:ncRNA from 8 species